UAACUAAGUGUUCUUUAUUCAAACUGUAACUCAAGUGGAGGGCAGCUCAAAUGCAUUUUUAGACCCCACAAUUAAGUGGUGAUAAUAGAAGUGGAGGCUGGACAGUGGCCAUGGUGGAAGUGAGCAGACAUCUAUUUGUCAAAUGACAAGGUAAG